CAGCAGCCGCGGUAAUACGAAGGGUGCAAGCGUUACUCGGAAUUACUGGGCGUAAAGCGUGCGUAGGUGGUGGUUUAAGUCCGUUGUGAAAGCCCUGGGCUCAACCUGGGAAUUGCAGUGGAUACUGGGUCACUAGAGUGUGGUAGAGGAUAGUGGAAUUUCCGGUGUAGCAGUGAAAUGCGUAGAGAUCGGAAGGAACAUCUGUGGCGAAGGCGACUAUCUGGGCCAACACUGACACUGAGGCACGAAAGCGUGGGGAGCAAACAGGAUUAGAUACCCCAGUAGUCCCUGUCUCUUAUAU
rnacentral:rRNA from 1 species